rnacentral:rRNA from 1 species
AUGCCUAAGCUUGCGCUCCUCAUCCGAGGAACUGCGCUGCUGCUUUGUCUAUUGAUCUUCCAAGCAGCAUCCACUUCACAUGGCCAAGCGAGUGUAUCAGGAGCCUGCAUCGGCAGCGAGCGAGAUGCGCUUCUGUCCUUCAAGGCAAGCCUCCUGGACCCUGCUGGCCGUCUCUCGUCAUGGCAGGGUGAGGAUUGUUGCCAAUGGAAGGGAGUCCGUUGCAGCAACAGAACGGGCCAUCUCAUCAAGCUCAACCUCCGCAACAUCGACAGGGACACCAUGUACAACAUGGGCUACUACAUGCACGACAACAGCUACUACAUGAGUGACAGCUACCCAAACAGGAGCAGAUCAUUGAGCUUGUCAGCAGGCGAGAUGAGCCCUUCUUUGGCUACUUUACAACACCUGAGGUAUCUUGAUCUAAGCUACAAUGACUUCAACGGCACAAGCAUCCCUGUGUUCUUGACUUCUCUCAAGAACCUAAGGUAUCUCAACCUCUCGUCGGCAGGAUUCGGUGGGAGAAUACCUUCUCAACUUGGCAAUCUCUCAAAGUUGCAAUAUCUUGAUGUGGGUCAGAAUUAUCAUUAUUAUUAUGGGAAUAUGCCUUACACUGUGGAUCUUGCAUGGGUGUCAGGUCUCUCUUUGUUGAGGCAUAUUGACAUGAGCAUUGUGGAUCUUAGCUCUGGGGGGGAUUGGUUUCAGAGGGUUAACAUGCUUCCUUCUCUUAAAGUGCUUCGCUUGUUCCAUUGUGGACUCAACAGUACCAUGUCUGCUAGUAUAUCACUUUCCAACCUCACACAUCUCGAAGUCCUUGAUAUGUCUGAUAACACCUUCCAUGCUUCACUCAAGCAUGCGUGGUUUUGGAAUCUCACAGGCCUUAAGGAGCUUCACCUAAGAUAUUCCCGCUUGGAAGGGUCCAUUCCUACUGAUUUGGCAAACAUGGCGUCCCUUCAAGUCAUAGACUUUAGUGGGAACGAUCUUGUGGGUCUGGCACCAAAAAAUUCAGAAAAUCUGUGCAAUCUGAGAAUAAUGAGGUUCAACAGUAACAACAUAGGUUCGAGCCUAGGGGGGUUCAUGGAGCGAUUGCCAAAGUGCUCCUGGAAUACCCUGCAAGAAUUGUCAGUGCAGCAUUCAGAUAACACCUUCCAAACUUCACUCAAGCAUGCAUGGUUUUGGAAUCUCACAGGCCUUAAGGAGCUUCACCUAAGAGAUUCCGGCUGGGAAGGGUCCAUUCCUAGUGAUUUGGCAAACAUGACGUCCCUUCAAGUCAUAGACUUUAGUUGGAACGAUCUCAUGGGUUUGAUACCAAAGAAAUUAGAAAAUUUGUGCAAUUUGACGAGAAUGGUGUUCACUAGUAACAACAUAGGUUCGAGCAUAGGGGAGUUCAUGGAGCGACUACCAAAAUGCUCAUGGAAUACUCUGCAAGAAUUUUCGGUGCAGGAGGCAAAUAUGACCGGGAAACUACUCAUUUGGAUUGGUAACAUGACCAAUCUUAGUGUUCUUCAAGCAUCUAAAAACAUGUUGACUGGCCCUCUACCUGUAGGAGUUGGAGCACUGAGUAAUUUGAAAAGGCUGGACAGCAGCUACAAUAACUUCAGCGGUGUUCUCUUGAAAGAACAAUUUGCAGGUUUAGAAAAAUUAGACGAAUUGGACAUCAACCACAAUAACUUCAACGGUGUGCUCUUGAAAGAACAAUUCGCAAGUUUAGGCAACUUAAAGCAUUUGGACCUCAGCUACAACAAAUUCAUUGGUGUGCUCUUCAAUGAACAUUUGCAAGUUUAG